UGGGACUGAUGGUGGUGCUAGGCCUCUUAAAAUUGGCCAAAAGAUAUCAGCUUUUGAUGAUAAUGGCCGGAAGGAUGCAGCGAAGUGAGACAGAAGCAGAAUGGUGAAGAUGAUGAGAAGUAGAACUUUGAGCAAGGUCUUGUGGUGUGUGAAAGCCAUGAAUGGAUGAAACAGAGCAAAUCAAGAACAAAAUGCAGCUUUUGUAUGAAGCAGGAUGAAUGACAUGAAAUGAAGACAGAAUUUAUAGGGAUUGGGAUUGAAAGUGGUAAGCAAAUGUGAAGAGCCUAAUUUGGGGUGAUUGCAAGAUUGGUUGACUGAAAAUGCUUGCUUGCUUUGAAGGGUUGAAUAUUUGGAAAAACUAAUUAAUUAAACAGAUGAGAUGAGAUGAGAUUAGCGUAUACUGA
rnacentral:lncRNA from 1 species